AUUUCCCGGAGCUUCAAUUUCCCAACCUAAAAUAAUGAUGCAGAAAUCGCCAUCAUGCGGAGUUAUUGAAGGAACUUGGUAAGAUACUCUUGAGAGAAUCCUGACAUCUAUCUGCUCGCUAAAGCUCCUGGUGACGCGAGAAGACCAAAAUGUGUACGCAGAGAAAGAAAUGUGCUCAUGUUCACUUGUCCUGAACCAGGUCUAAUUGCUUGGCUCUAACCACCCAACUGCUUGGAAACAACACAUAUCGAACAAGCAGCAGAGCAGGAAAACUGGAAAGACAGACGCAAUGGCUGUUAGAUUGUCACUCUUUAAGUUCUAAGAUUAGACAACAGCAACUUCUAAUAAUUGCAAGUGAGUGUAAAGGAACCUGGACAACCCCAAAGGACAUGUCCGCAAAAUUAGAAUGGCAGUAGAAGUCAUUUUGGAAAUAUCGAUAGAAAAAAAAACUUUGAGAUGCUGAGACUGAACCCGAAGUUUUGCAUAUGUCUUGUGUAUUAACCUUGAGCUACAUAUUCAUGCUCAAAUAAAGACAUUUUUGAGGCCAGCUUUUGAUGUCAACCUGGAAGCUCAACUUUCUGGGGCCGAUGCCAGAAGCUGUAAUGAUGAGGAAAGAGGAAGUGAGCCUGUGUGUUGUAAGUCUUCAGGUUGUCUUUCCUUCUGUCUUUCAGUUACAACAAAAUAAAACAAAUAAACAAACAGCAAUGAUAACAAACCCAAGGAGAAGAAAAGGAAGAAAAAUAAGAUUUCUGCCCAGACAUUAAUCAGAUGCUUGGGCAUGUGGACGCUCUGAAGAUCCCAGCAUCACUAGG
rnacentral:lncRNA from 1 species